UGGGGAAUUUUGCACAAUGGGGGAAACCCUGAUGCAGCGACGCCGCGUGAUUUAGAAGGCCUUCGGGUUGUAAAAAUCUUUUGUAUAGGAAGAAAAUGACAGUACUAUACGAAUAAGGACCGGCUAAUUACGUGCCAGCAGCCGCGGUAAUACGUAAGGUCCGAGCGUUGUCCGGAAUCAUUGGGCGUAAAGGGUACGUAGGCGGGUAAGCAAGUUAGAAGUGAAAUCCUAUAGCUCAACUAUAGUAAGCUUUUAAAACUGCUCAUCUUGAGGUAUGGAAGGGAAAGUGGAAUUCCUAGUGUAGCGGUGAAAUGCGUAGAUAUAUGGAGGAACACCAGUGGCGAAGGCGACUCUCUGGUCUGUAACUGACGCUGAGGCUCGAAAGCGUGGGUAGCAAACAGG
rnacentral:rRNA from 1 species